rnacentral:misc_RNA from 1 species
UAAUAAGUGUUUUAUGGCACUUUUUAAAUCCAUAUCCACCUUGUGUGCAAUGUCAGUCGAUCUUCUUCAUGGAGAUCGACCAAACAUCAACCUUUAUCUUUUAACUCUUUGUCUGAAAAAUAUUAUGAAUAAACAAUUCAAAAUACAACUUUCAACAACGGAUCUCUUGGCUCUCGCAUCGAUGAAGAACGCAGCGAAAUGCGAUACGUAAUGUGAAUUGCAGAAUUCAGUGAAUCAUCGAAUCUUUGAACGCAUAUUGCGCUCUUUGGUAUUCCGAAGAGCAUGCUUGUUUGAGUAUCAGUAAACACCUCAAAGCUUUUGGAUUUUUUAAUCGAAAAGCUUUGGACUUGAGCAAUCCCAACACCAAUCUUUUUUGAGAUCGGUGGCGGGUUGCUUGAAAUGCAGGUGCAGCUGGACAUUCUCCUGAGCUAAAAGCAUAUUCAUUUAGUCCCGUCAAACGGAUUAUUACUUUUGCUGCAGCUAACAUAAAGGGAGUUUGACCGUAUUGGCUGACUGAUGCAGGAUUUCACAAGGGUCGGCAACGAUUCUUGUUAAACUCGAUCUCAAAUCAAGUAAGACUACCCGCUGAACUUAAGCAUAUCAAUAAGCGGAGGAAUCGUAGCCUUGGUCAUUUAGAGGAAGUAAAAGUCGUAACAAGGUUUCCGUAGGUGAACCUGCGGAAGGAUCACUAGUGAUUAAAUCGAGCGUGUCUUCAUUGACCGCUCACCCUUCUCACCAUCCACAUACACCUGUGCACUGUUUAGCCUGAGCCGGUUUUCCGGUCCAGGUUAUCAUUUCAUACAAACUCUAGUCUUAUGAAUGUAAACGUUUUAAUAACAUAAUA